rnacentral:rRNA from 1 species
UACGUAGGGUGCGAGCGUUAAUCGGAAUUACUGGGCGUAAAGCGUGCGCAGGCGGUUUUGUAAGUCAGAUGUGAAAUCCCCGGGCUCAACCUGGGAACUGCGUUUGAAACUACAAGGCUAGAGUGUAGCAGAGGGGGGGUAGAAUUCCACGUGUAGCAGUGAAAUGCGUAGAGAUGUGGAGGAAUACCAAUGGCGAAGGCAGCCCCCCUGGGUUAACACUGACGCUCAUGCACGAAAGCGUGGGGAGCAAACAGG